GUUUUCAGAAAGGCAUCAUUGGUAAAGGAGUACCCGAACAAUUCUCUAGGCCACAUUUGGCUAAAGAAAGGAGCCGAUUGGAAAGAUACUACAAAAACUGACAUGGACAUGAAAGAGGCAUACACUGACCCAAAUAAACAUGUGAAAGAACAUUCUCCAAGGAAGAAAAGGAUCAAAUGGAACCAAGAAGUCAUGGCGCUUGCCUGUUUGUCAUUGCUGUUUAUUCUGACGGGUGGAGGAGCUCUGUGGUUAACCAUAUAUACCAACAUGAAGCGUGAGGAAACCACAGGACUUGACAGUCUUGCUGAGGAGCUUAUACCAUUAAAACCAGUAAAGGAACUUGACAAGAAGAAGCAAAAGGAAAAAUUUCCUGAGACCGCAGAAGAGGAAAAAGUAUACAAGACAUUACUCCAUUCAGUUUUGAAAAUUGACAGGAAGAAAAAGAGACGUAAGAAAUGCAGGAGAUCGGAGUCCAGGAUGGAUGUAACAAGAAAAACAAGAGCGUUAGCUCAGAAACACAGAAGUGAGAAUUUAGGACGUAACACCAAAGACAAAAAAUUUCACGAUCUGAAUGAGCAAGAUGGAGAACCUCAGAAAAUACCUGAGAAGGAAAAUAAUGACAGAGGUCAAGUUGCCGAGGGGGAGAAUCAGGUCCAGUUGUUACCAGACCUUCUUUGUCAGAUUCCGACAAACACACCCAGCUUUCAAAUGUUCAAGUUCCAGUGAAAGAAAAGCCAGGUGGAAAUGGAAGCAGGGAGGGAAGA